CUGCAGACCAUUUUUUUGUUGAGAACAUACUUGCCUGGAGCUCUGACUGGUUCCGAGAUACCGGAUUGAAAAGAAGAUUCAAGAUGGCGAGCCGAGCCCUGGAAGACUGAGCAGCUGGACAGCGGUGUGGCUAGCCGUGAAGCUGUUCCAGACUACAGAUCUGUUGAUUGCCAUUCCAUGAACACAGAUAAGACAUUACACAAACUCUUUAGCACUACCCGGGCAGAAAAAGGAAACACUGAUUCAGAGAAAUUAAUACUGCAAGAAAUGGGAAUUCCCACUCAUUUUGAGAGUGAGUGGAGAACUAAAGACUCAUUUUCUAAGAAUUUUGUUUUUCAUUUAAAUUUCAGUUUUUUUGUAAAGAUCUCUAUUUUGUAUGUUAUAUUGAUGUUGGCAAUAAAGUGUCAGCUGUUCAACUCA